rnacentral:rRNA from 1 species
CCGCGGUAAUACCAGCUCCCCGAGUGGUCGGGACGAUUAUUGGGCCUAAAGCAUCCGUAGCCGGUUCUGUAGGUCUUAUGUUAAAAUCAAUUGCUUAACAAUUGAACUGCAUGAGAUACCACAAAACUAGGAGGCGGGAGAGGUGGACGGUAUUCCACGGGUAGGGGUAAAAUCCUCUGAACCGUGGAGGACCACCAGUGGCGAAGUGCGGUCCACCAGAACGCGCUCGACGGUGAGGGAUGAAAGCUGGGGUAGCGAACCGGAUUAGAUACCCGGGUAGUCCCAGCUGUAAACGAUGCAAGCUAGGUGAUGCAUUAGCCACGUGUUAAUGCAGUGCCGCAGGGAAGCCGUUAAGCUUGCCGCCUGGGGAGUACGGUCGCAAGGCUGAAACUUAAAGGAAUUGGCGGGGGAGCACCACAAGGGGUGAAGCCUGCGGUUCAAUUGGAGUCAACGCCGGGAACCUUACCAGGAGAGACAGCAGAGUGAAGGUCAAGCUGAAGACUUUACCAGACAAGCUGAGAGGAGGCGCAUGGCCGUCGACAGCUCGUGCCGUGAGGCGUCCUGUUAAGUCAGGUAACGAGCGAGACCCUUGCUAUUAAUUGCUUCCAUUGAUCGAAAGGUUGGCGGAGCUAGUUAAUGGGACUGCCGUUGAUAAAACGGAGGAAGGAAGGGGCCACGGCAGGUCAGUAUGCCCCGAAACUCUUGGGCCACACGCGGGCUGCAAUGGUAGGCACAAUAGGUCCCAAAUUCGAGAGAAUGAGGUAAUCCCAAAAUCCUACCCCAGUUGUGAUUGAGGGCUGCAACUCGCCCUCAUGAAUCUGGAAUCCCUAGUAACCGCGUGUCAACAUCGCGCGGUGAAUACGUCCCUGCUCCUUGCACACACCGCCCGUCGCUUCACCCGAGUUGGGUUUGGGGGAGAUAGUGUCUCUUUGACAUUAUCGAACCUAGGUUCGACAAGGGGGGAGAAGUCGUAACAAGGUGGCCGUAGGGGAACCUGUGGCCG